AACGAACGCUGGCGGCAGGCCUAACACAUGCAAGUCGAACGCCGUAGCAAUACGGAGUGGCAGACGGGUGAGUAACGCGUGGGAACCUACCUUACGGUCGGGAAUAGCUCAGGGAAACUUGGGGUAAUACCGGAUACGCCCUUACGGGAAAGAUUUAUCGCCGUUAGAUGGGCCCGCGUCGGAUUAGCUAGUUGGUGAGGUAACGGCUCACCAAGGCGACGAUCCGUAGCUGGUCUGAGAGGAUGAUCAGCCACACUGGGACUGAGACACGGCCCAGACUCCUACGGGAGGCAGCAGUGGGGAAUAUUGGACAAUGGGCGCAAGCCUGAUCCAGCCAUGCCGCGUGAGUGACGAAGGCCUUAGGGUUGUAAAGACUCUUUUGGUCGGGGAAGAUAAUGACGGUACCCGCAGAAUAAGCCCCGGCUAACUUCGUG
rnacentral:rRNA from 1 species